CUUUACUGUAGCCUGGUAUUGGGUUCGGGCUUUGACUGCGCAGGAUAGAUGGGAGACUAUGAAGCUGCCCUUGUGGGGGCAGUGGAGUCAUCAGUGAGAUACCACUCUGUCAAGGCUAGAAUUCUAACCGUCUGCCGUUAUCCGGCGCCGGAACAGUAUCAGGUGGGCAGUUUGACUGGGGCGGUCGCCUCCUAAAUGGUAACGGAGGCGCGCAAAGGUUCCCUCAGGCUGGUUGGAAAUCAGCCGAAGAGUGUAAAGGCAGAAGGGAGCUUGACUGCAAGAGCAACAACUCAAGCAGGGACGAAAGUCGGCCUUAGUGAUCCGACGGCGGUGAGUGGAAGGGCCGUCGCUCAACGGAUAAAAGUUA
rnacentral:rRNA from 1 species